GCUGGGUGUGGUGGUGCACACUUGUAAUCCCAGCAGUUUGGGAAGCUGAGGCAGGAGGAUCAUGAGUUCAAAGCCAGCUUCAGCAAUGGUGAGGCGGUAGGCAACUCAGUGAGACCCUGUCUCUA
rnacentral:sRNA from 1 species